GGUGAUUGGGUGUGGCUGCGUCUUCUCCAUCGCUCUACGCAGUCCCUCGACCCGCGCGCGAAGCGCAAGCUCGGCCCUCGCUACGCCGGGCCCUUCCCUAUCUUGGAGCGCAUUGGGAAGGUGGCCUAUCGUCUUCAGCUUCCAGCCCGCGCUCGCAUCCACGACGUUUUCCAUGUGGGGCUGCUCAAGCCUUUCCGUGGCGAGCCACCGGCGGCUCCACCGGCGCUUCCUCCCAUCGCCAAUGGUCGCAUUCUUCCAGAGCCGGCAAAGGUAUUGCAGGCGCAGCUCUGUUGUGGCGUCUGGUUCAUCCUCGUUCAGUGGGCAGGCCUUCCGGAGGAGGAGGCUACUUGGGAGCAGCGUGAAGAAUUCCGCCAACACUAUCCAGACUUUCAGCUCGAGGACGAGCUGUUUGCGCAGGCGGGGAGAGAUGUU
rnacentral:rRNA from 1 species